CAUUAAGUGACUGAAAGUAAGUAAUGGUCUCUUAAACCAUAAAUAAUAAUUUAACAUUUAUUCUUAAUG
rnacentral:tRNA from 1 species